GCUUUGUUGUAGAGGUAGAGUCCCACUAAACCCAGUAAAGUGGGAACCAGCGCCAGGCACAGAAGAGGCAAGAUGUCAUUGAUGAGCUUCUGCCAUGGCGUCUGCUGGGACAGAGAGAUCACCUCCACCUCGAACUCCAGCGUACUGUCACCUGUGAGGAGAGACAGACAAAAGAAACUCAGAAGUGCAUUGAAAGAAUCACCACUCUAACCUGGAAAGAAAGAAAAAAAGGUUCCACAGCCUCAUACCUGUGAUGACAGACCUCUUGCCCAAUUCUACAACCAAAGGCUCGCGAGACAGAGACGUGUCUAUCACCUUCCCGUCCAUUAAUCGACCCUGCACAAAACAGCAAAUUGAUUUUACAGGUAAUAUGCAUUCAUUAUGUGUGGAUGCAACAAGCUUUGUAAAUACCUGCAGACAUAAGUAAAAUAAGCCAUCUAAUAAAAAGUGU
rnacentral:lncRNA from 1 species